rnacentral:rRNA from 1 species
UACGUAGGGCGCAAGCGUUAUCCGGAAUUAUUGGGCGUAAAGAGCUCGUAGGCGGUUUGUCGCGUCUGCCGUGAAAGCCCGGGGCUCAACUCCGGAUCUGCGGUGGGUACGGGCAGACUAGAGUGCAGUAGGGGAGACUGGAAUUCCUGGUGUAGCGGUGGAAUGCGCAGAUAUCAGGAGGAACACCAAUGGCGAAGGCGGUUCUCUGGGCCUUAACUGACGCUGAGGAGCGAAAGCGUGGGGAGCAAACAGG